rnacentral:rRNA from 1 species
CCUACGGGCGGCAGCAGUGGGGGAUAUUGCACAAUGGGGGGAACCCUGAUGCAGCGACGCCGCGUGGGUGAAGAAGCGCCUCGGCGCGUAAAGCCCUGUCAGCAGGGAAGAAAAUGACGGUACCUGAAGAAGAAGCCCCGGCUAACUACGUGCCAGCAGCCGCGGUAAUACGUAGGGGGCAAGCGUUAUCCGGAUUUACUGGGUGUAAUGGGGGCGCAGACGGCGAUGCAAGCCAGGAGUGAAAGCCCGGGGCCCAACCCCGGGACUGCUCUUGGAACUGCGUGGCUGGAGUGCAGGAGGGGCAGGCGGAAUUCCUGGUGGAGCGGUGAAAUGCGUAGAUAUCAGGAGGAACACCGGCGGCGAAGGCGGCCUGCUGGACCGCGACUGACGUUGAGGCUCGAAAGCGUGGGGAGCGAACAGGAUUAGAUACCCCAGUAGUC